rnacentral:rRNA from 1 species
GGUGUCCGUCGAGAGUACGGCCGGACCUAUGUGGUGAGGCCCAAGGGGAGGCACCUGGCCACCAUUGUGUGGCUCCACGGCAUAGGCGACAACGGAAACAGUUGGUCCCAGAUCCUGGGCAAUCUCCCGUUGGAUAAUGUCAAAUGGAUUUGCCCUACUGCGCCAACGCGGCCCGUACCGGCCUUCGGUGGAUUCCCAUGUACUGCAUGGUUCGACGUGGAGGAGACUUCGGUUGACGGCCCCGACGACGUCCAAGGGCUGGACGCAUCCGCCGCACACAUAGCAAACUUGCUAUCGUCCGAGCCCUCUGAUGUGAGGCUUGGGAUAGGCGGUAGCAUGGGAGCCGCCACUGCGUUCCACUCUGCCGCAUGUUAUGCUCAUGGAAGGUUCUCAAACGGUGUUGCGUACCCUACCCUCAGCGCUAUCAUUGGGUUGAGCGGCUGGCUUCCCUGCUCCAGGACCCUGAGGACCAAGAUUGAGAGCUCACAGACUGCUUUCAGGAGGGCUGCUGCCUUGCCGAUAAUGCUUGGCCAUGGAAGAGGGGACGAGGCAGUCACGUACAGGAACGGUGAGAGACUGGGCCAUCACACCACCCCUGAGGAAAUGGACGAUGUCUCCAAGUGGCUCAGGGCAAGGCUCGGGCUUGAUCGCUCUUGCGGCUAA